rnacentral:rRNA from 1 species
GAUGAACGCUGGCGGCGUGCCUAAUACAUGCAAGUCGAGCGAACAGACGAGGCGCUUGCUCCUCUGACGUUAGCGGCGGACGGGUGAGUAACACGUGGAUAACCUACCUAUAAGACUGGGAUAAUUUCGGGAAACCGGAGCUAAUACCGGAUAAUAUAUUGAACCGCAUGGUUCAAUAGUGAAAGACGGUUUUGCUGUCACUUAUAGAUGGAUCUGCGCCGCAUUAGCUAGUUGGUAAGGUAACGGCCUACCAAGGCAACGAUGCGUAGCCGACCUGAGAGGGUGAUCGCCCACACUGGAACUUGGACACGGUCCAUACUCCUGCGGGAGGCAGCAGUCGCGUAUCUUCCGCAAUGGGCGAAAGCCUGACGGAGCGACGCCGCGUGAGUGAUGAAGGUCUUCGGAUCGUAAAACUCUGUUAUUAGUGAUGAACAAAUGUGUAAGUAACUAUGCACGUCUUGACGGUACCUAAUCAGAAAGCCACGGCUAACUACGUG